rnacentral:sRNA from 13 species
CUGACGCAAGGAGAGAGUAAAGCUACCUUCUCAUAAAUAUCAAAACGCACAAGUAAUAAUUGCAAAACUCAUCAAUCCUGCCUACCACAUUUGCAAAUAAACAAAACAUGGCCACCGCCGCCUC